AUGGCCAGCGCGGUGAACAAGGCUCCAGCGAGCGGUGGUGCCCGGCGCGUGCUGUUGUUUCCGCUGCCGUUUCAGGGCCACAUCAACCCGAUGCUGCAGCUCGCCGCCGUGCUGCACGCCCGGGGCCUCCGUGUCACCGUCUUCCACUCCGCGUUCAACGCCCCGGAACCCGCGCGCCGCCCCGCGGGCUACCGCUUCGUCACCGUCGGCGCCUCAGUGCCGAUCGCAGACCUCAUCCCCACCGGCAGCCACGGCAACUUCGCCGAGGCGCUGCUUCGCAUCAACGAGCCGCCGGCAUGCCUGGUGGUAGACUCCAACCUCCGGGGGAUGCAGGUGGUCGCCCACCGUCUCGGCGUGCCGACGCUGGUGCUGCGGACGGGUGCCGCCGCCUGCCUCUUGGCUUAUAUGGCCUUCCCGGCGCUCUGCGAUAAGGGCGUCCUCCCGCCACAAGAUCAUUUGCAACUGAAUAUGCAACUGGAUGGUCUCCACCCGCUCCAGCAGCAAGACAUGGUCUUCUCAGCCACAAUUCCACAUGAAACGAUGUCCACCUUAAUAGAACGCAUUGUGGUAUCAUCAAUGUGUUCUUCAGGUGUCAUCAUUAACACCUUCAGCGACCUCGAAGAUGCUGAGCUACAAAAGAUCAUUGAUGGCAUGGGCGUUCCGGUGUAUGCGAUCGGUCCGCUUCACAAGAUAUCUUUAGGUGCCCAGAGCAGCCUGUUGGCUCAAGAUAGAACAUGUUUGGAUUGGUUGGACAAGCAAGAAGUAGGAUCUGUUCUGUUCGUGAGCUUCGGGAGCUUGGCAUCCAUGGAUCAGGAAGAGCUAGUGGAGACUGCAUGGGGCUUGGCCAACAGUCGCAUGCCAUUUCUUUGGGUGAUCCGGCCUGACUCGGUUCAGGGUUCAGGGAAGAUAGGCCUACCCGACGGCUUUGAGGAAGAGGCACGAGAUAGGGGAAUGGUGGUGAGCUGGGCCCCACAACAAGAAGUUCUUGGGCACCAGGCGAUUGGUGGAUUUUGGACCCAUAAUGGCUGGAACUCAACGUUGGAGAGCAUAAGUGAGGGUGUUCCAAUGAUAUGUAGACCACAUUUCGGCGACCAAAUGAUAAAUGCCAGGUAUGUCCAGGAGGUGUGGAAGAUAGGGUUUCGGUUAGAGGGCAAGAUGGACAGGGACAAUAUUCAGAGGAGUGUUAAAAAGUUGUUUUGCCACGACCAAGGUGGAGAGAUGAGGCGAAGGGCAAAUAAUCUCAAAGACAAAGCAACCCGGUGCAUUAUGAAAGGAGGCUCUUCACAAACUGGAAUUGAUUUGUUGGUGAAUUGCAUAAUGACAUUACCUUCUUCCAUUUAG
rnacentral:rRNA from 1 species